rnacentral:lncRNA from 1 species
UCAUGGUUUGACCAAAGGUAUUUCCCCAGUAGUACGAUUCUGGGGGAGGUUUCUGUCGUGCGAGACAGAUGGUGAAAGUGUUGCUCUGAGGAGUGUGGUACCAUGACGUCAGAUCAGCAGUGUUCCCCAGUAGUGCGAUAUUGGAGGAAAUGUUUCUGUCGGACAGAGAUGGAAAUGAUAUCAGAAGACGUUACGCGAUCAGCGCGAUUCCGGGGUUCAAAUGGAGAAAAGGAGAUGUUGCGACAUUUUCUGGAGAUCGGGGUUCAAUCAGAGAAGAGUAUAUGCUGAGGCAUUUUCUGGGGUUCAAAUGGAGAUUGGAGUUGAAGAUUAUAUCCAGGAUGAAGUCCGCAGGAUUAUCUUCUGUUCAUGUGUCACCGUAGACUCAGGCUGAGGCCAAUGGAGGUCGUUAAAGGUGUCUUCUGAGGAAGAGUUACACAUGUUACCUUCUUUAUGAAGGUGUACCCUCUGACAUGUCGCCCUCAGAGUGGUUUGGUGUUAUUUCCGACGUUGCCAGCGGAAUUAUCACGAGAGAUUGGAGAAAAGGAUAUGCUGAGGCAUUUCCUGGGGUUCAAAUGGAGAAAGGAUAUGCUGAGGCAUUUUCCGGGGUUCAAAUGGAGAAAGGG